CCUACGGGGGGCAGCAGUGGGGAAUAUUGCACAAUGGGGGAAACCCUGAUGCAGCGACGCCGCGUGAGCGAAGAAGUAUUUCGGUAUGUAAAGCUCUAUCAGCAGGGAAGAAGAAUGACGGUACCUGACUAAGAAGCUCCGGCUAAAUACGUGCCAGCAGCCGCGGUAAUACGUAUGGAGCAAGCGUUAUCCGGAUUUACUGGGUGUAAAGGGAGCGUAGGCGGUGCUAUAAGUCUGAUGUGAAAGCCCGGGGCUCAACCGCGGGACUGCAUUGGAAACUGUAGGACUGGAGUGUCGGAGGGGUAAGUGGAAUUCCUAGUGUAGCGGUGAAAUGCGUAGAUAUUAGGAGGAACACCGGUGGCGAAGGCGGCUUACUGGACGACAACUGACGCUGAGGCUCGAAAGCGUGGGGAGCAAACAGGAUUAGAUACCCCAGUAGUC
rnacentral:rRNA from 1 species